CAUGGCAAUAGCAGGUGAGUUACGCUGCUGUUGCCAGACAGUAUUCUGGGAUUUACCUUAGAGAUGAAAUUCUGCUUUUGUGGUGCCUUCCACCAGGACAAUACAUUCUCUGCAGCUGUGAGAAACAAGGUCCUCACAAGAGGACUUACAGUGGGAGACCAAAGAUGGACAGCUUGGCUGUUUUUCUAGUAAAAAUUCACCCUGACAAGAGCAGUGGGAAAUCAAAAUCCACAGCCACUUACACAGCUCUCAGCUUCUGUCCAGUCAGGAAGAAACAAAAGGAGAAAUGGGAGCAUGUUCUCUAUUUGCAGCACAUCUGCUUCAGUGGACCAAGAAACACAGAUCAGUUGUUUUGCAACAUGAAUGUAACACUGCGCUUGACAAGACGACUUGCUGUAACUCCACAA
ensembl:lncRNA